CAGUAGCCGCGGGAAUACGGAGGGAGCUAGCGUUGUUCGGAAUUACUGGGCGUAAAGCGCACGUAGGCGGCUUUGUAAGUCAGAGGUGAAAGCCUGGAGCUCAACUCCAGAACUGCCUUUGAGACUGCAUCGCUUGAAUCCAGGAGAGGUGAGUGGAAUUCCGAGUGUAGAGGUGAAAUUAGUAGAUAUUCGGAAGAACACCAGUGGCGAAGGCGGCUCACUGGACUGGUAUUGACGCUGAGGUGCGAAAGCGUGGGGAGCAAACAGGAUUAGAUACCCCCGUAGUCCCUGUCUCUUAUAC
rnacentral:rRNA from 1 species